ACCCCCUGCAAUGGGCAAAGGGAACCUUGCUGGUGGUGGUGGUGUUCUUAUAUCAGUCAGGGGCAGAGCAGACAGUCCUUUGUUCAUCCUAGUUUGAUGGUUGGCUUGGUGGCCAAAGCUAUUUUAUGCCUAGGACUCACAA